rnacentral:misc_RNA from 1 species
AAGAGCUUCGACAUGGUUUGACUGGAAUAAGCUGUUGGAGGAAACUAAAUUUUGUUGCAUGGAAGGUGUUAUAUGGAUACGUACAUGUAAUUCUUUAAGCAUUAUAUAAGGAACAUUAUAUUGUUUGAAUAUCGUACAAAAGCGUAUGAGAUGGUCUGAACAAACUUUGGGAAAAAUGCUAAUUUUGAAUGUAAGAGCAUACUGUGUAAAAGCUGUGUAAAAAAUGCCAUAUAAGAAAUAGACGUUUAUCGUUGCGCAUGUAUUUAUCCAAAAGAACUGGAUAAUUAACAUGUUGAAAAAUGGGUAGAAGAUUUUAUCUGACAAUAUACUUUUGCAUAACGGAGAAAGGAAAUUCCAGAAAACAUGUUUACCAAAAAUCUUAUUCCAACAAUCGCUCUACCGUAUAUUCAUAUACAACAUACUAAACAAAUAGUAACAAUUUAAAGCUUCGUCUGAAAUUUAGGCAAUCAAAAUUUCAAAAAUA